AGAGUUUGAUCCUGGCUCAGGAUGAACGCUGACAGAAUGCUUAACACAUGCAAGUCAACUUGAACUUCGGUUUGGGUGGCGGACGGGUGAGUAACGCGUAAAGAACUUGCCUCACAGUUAGGGACAACAUUUGGAAACGAAUGCUAAUACCUGAUAUUAUGAUUUUAGGGCAUCCUAGAAUUAUGAAAGCUAUAUGCGCUGUGAGAGAGCUUUGCGUCCCAUUAGCUAGUUGGAGAGGUAACGGCUCACCAAGGCGAUGAUGGGUAGCCGGCCUGAGAGGGUGAACGGCCACAAGGGGACUGAGACACGGCCCUUACUCCUACGGGAGGCAGCAGUGGGGAAUAUUGGACAAUGGACCAAAAGUCUGAUCCAGCAAUUCUGUGUGCACGAUGAAGUUUUUCGGAAUGUAAAGUGCUUUCAGUUGGGAAGAAAAAAAUGACGGUACCAACAGAAGAAGUGACGGCUAAAUACGUGCCAGCAGCCGCGGUAAUACGUAUGUCACAAGCGUUAUCCGGAUUUAUUGGGCGUAAAGCGCGUCUAGGUGGUUAUGUAAGUCUGAUGUGAAAAUGCAGGGCUCAACUCUGUAUUGCGUUGGAAACUGUGUAACUAGAGUACUGGAGAGGUAAGCGGAACUACAAGUGUAGAGGUGAAAUUCGUAGAUAUUUGUAGGAAUGCCGAUGGGGAAGCCAGCUUACUGGACAGAUACUGACGCUAAAGCGCGAAAGCGUGGGUAGCAAACAGGAUUAGAUACCCUGGUAGUCCACGCCGUAAACG
rnacentral:rRNA from 1 species